rnacentral:rRNA from 1 species
AUAAACGCUGGCGGUGUGCUUAACACAUGCAAGUCGAGCGAGAAAGUUCCUUCGGGAAUAAGUACAGCGGCGGACGGGUGAGUAAUACGUGAGAAUCUGCCCUUAAGUGAAGGAUACCCUCGGGAAACCGAGUCUAAUACUGCAUACGUCCCUAACGGGAGAAAGGUGGCUUUAUGCUGCCGCUUGAGGAUGAGCUUACGCGCUAUUAGUUAGUUGGUGGGGUAAAGGCCUACCAAGACUAUGAUGGCUAGCCGGCCUGAGAGGGUGUACGGCCACAUUGGGACUGAGAUACGGCCCAAACUCCUACGGGAGGCAGCAGUGAGGAAUAUUGCGCAAUGGGCGAAAGCCUGACGCAGCGACACCGCGUGAAGGAUGAAGGUUUUAGGAUCGUAAACUUCUGUUAAGUGAAAAGAAAGAGUCGUCUCUAAUACAGACGAAAGAUGACGUUAUCACUAAAGAAAGCACCGGCUAAUCUCGU